CCUACGGGAGGCAGCAGUGAGGAAUAUUGGUCAAUGGGCGCGAGCCUGAACCAGCCAAGUAGCGUGAAGGAUGACUGCCCUACGGGUUGUAAACUUCUUUUAUAAAGGAAUAAAGUGAGGCACGUGUGCCUUUAUGUAUGUACUUUAUGAAUAAGGAUCGGCUAACUCCGUGCCAGCAGCCGCGGUAAUACGGAGGAUCCGAGCGUUAUCCGGAUUUAUUGGGUUUAAAGGGAGCGUAGAUGGGUUGUUAAGUCAGUUGUGAAAGUUUGCGGCUCAACCGUAAAAUUGCAAUUGAUACUGGCGGUCUUGAGUGCGGGUGAGGUAGGCGGAAUUCGUGGUGUAGCGGUGAAAUGCAUAGAUAUCACGAAGAACUCCGAUUGCGAAGGCAGCAUACUGAACUGCCACUGACAUUGAUGCACGAAAGUGUGGGUAUCGAACAGGAUUAGAUACCCCAGUAGUC
rnacentral:rRNA from 1 species